GAAGUUACUUCUGUACCUGUUAUAAUGAUAUUAAAUCAGCAUCGGAUCAAAUAUUUGGAUUGUUAUAUUAAUUUUUGUUUUCUUCACAGUGUUGCUGAGAUUCAUUGGUAAAUCAAGUGAACGGAUCAUUACUAUGUUCAAGGUUCUGGCUGGAAUCAGUUUUAAUGUUCUGCCUUCACUUCAGUUCAUCCUCAUCUUCUACUCCUUUGGAUCAAUUAGAGGAGGAUUCAUCAUUGUUGCAGUUUUACCAGUGUUUACCACAGUGACGAGAUUCAAGUGGAACGCAGUAUGUGGUCAACAGAUGGGCUGUAAGUGUUUGAUGAAUUCUGAUCUGAUCCCUGAUAUAAACACUAAUAAUUUAUGACAUCAUAAUCUGAUCAAUAUAUAAUUCAUUAAUGCUCUCUGUUAGUCAUUAUGUAUUUCUCAUCUUCACAGAUGUUGAGUAAAGGGUUAAAUGAGAGUAGAAAUACUUCCAGUGAUUUCAGACGUAAUAAUCUGUGUUCAGUUGUUUUGAGCAUUUGUGAGAUGUUUUAAAUAUUAUCCAGUCGGUGUCGAAACACAGAUGUGCAGUUUUUUACAAUAUUAUACACAGAGCUGGGCAGAUUACUCACAAACUGUAAUCUGUUAUUGAUUCCAGAUUACACACAAAAAUUGUAGUUUGUAAAGUAAUCCAUUUCAGGUAAUAUAAUCAGAUUACUUUCUGAUUAGUUUUAGAUAUCUUUUGAUCUUACUCACUUAUCACAUUGUUUUAAACAUGAUAAUUUUGUACCAUAUUGAUAUUAAAAACCCAUUUGUUGAAAUUGACAACAUAAAGUGGAUUAAACAUCACAUUACGUCAAUGUUUCCCAAACUGGGGUUUGUGAAGAACUGAAGGACACAUAAUAUGUAAAUACGUAAUCCAUAAAUAGUAACUGUAGUCUGAUUCUGAGUAUUUUACACUUUUAAAGUAAGUACUUGAUUUUUGGAAUCUGAUUUCAUACAGUAAGUCAGAUUAAAUGUAAUCAGUUUCUAUGCUGUUCUGAUGAUAUAAUAUUAUAAUAUCACCGCAAAAACACUAGAUUACAGAUAUUUUACAAUAGUUUAAUAUUGUUAAUAUGUAUGUAACGUCACUUCAUGUAGUAAUAUUAAAGAUGUUUUUCAGGUUCACCUGCGCUCACGAGACCAGUGUGGUUAACUCUCAUGAUGCCGGUCAAUGCUGUAUUGUUCUAUUUCUACAUCAUAGCUCUGGAAAAUGAAGAGG
rnacentral:lncRNA from 1 species